CCUUCGCACACGCCAAAACUUUAGCUGCACAUAUGCUCUCCUCACUCCUCUUCUGCUCGUCUGGGAGUCCCAAAUCCGGGUGGGGAAGAAAGAACACUUCGCUGGUGUGAGAGCUUGAAGCUGCCAGCAUGAUCUGGCUACUCAAACGCCGCCGGCCUCCCAAGUGCUCGAUCGGUGGCGCUUCACCAGAUCAUGUUGCAGCUUCACUCUCUCGCAACCAGCGAAGGGCGGCAAAGCACCGUGGAGGCUCCGGACAAUGAAUUCCUUCGCCGGUAGCUGCUGGUUUUCACCGGGCAAGUCAUCAGGCAGAUAAGCUGGUAAUGCAGGCUUUAGAAUGUAUACUAUUACUCAUUCGUUUUUUCCCAUCUCUUUCUACUAAAGAAAGUUUAAUGCUUAACCACAAGCAGAAAUUGAACGGCGGAUACAUGUCAA
rnacentral:precursor_RNA from 1 species